ensembl:lncRNA novel transcript
AGAAUAGAUUGUCUUGGGGUAGCUGAAUGUUUAAUUUAUAAUGAAUAGUCAAAAUUGUUUUUUUAAUUGAUUGUAAUAUUUUACACUAACUGGCAAUGUAUCAAUAAGAGUUCUAAUUUUUCCACAUCCUUUCGUAACUUAGUUUUGUUGGAUUUCUAGUUAAAAUCUUUUGGCUGGCCAGGUUGCUCACGCCUGUAAUCCCAGCACUUUGGGAGGCUGAGGUGAGUGGAUCACCUGAGGUCAGGAGUUUGAGACCAGCCCGACCAACAUGGUGAAACCCCUUCUCUACUAAAAAUACAAAAAUUAGCUGGGCACGGUCGUGGGCACCUGUAAUCCAAGCUACUCAGGAGGCCAAGGCAGGAGAAAUGCUUGAACCUGGGAGGCAGAGGUUGCAGUGAGCCGAGAUCGCGCCAUUGCACUCCAGCCUGGGCAACAAGAGCAAAACUCCAUCUCAACAACAACCACAAAAAUCUUUCUAGUAGAAAACAGAAAUACAUUAUGGAAUAGAAAGCAAAUUUCCAGGAAGUUUUAAAAUAAAAUAUGUGACUUCAAAGACACUUGUUUGUGCUGGGCUGCUUCAGACUCUGCCCUGGGUCUCCCUGAAGGCACACACAAUCUGCUAUGCUUUGGGGGACACGUUGAUGGAAAAAGAGAAAAUCUGCAACUGCAAUACAAUACCAAGAAUGGAAUUAUGUGGAACUCUACUGGUAUAGAUUUCAUCUUAGCAGGCUUUCAUAGUACUUUUCUGACCACGGUUUUCUGGAGUUUUUUCGUAUGGAGUUUGUAAGCUUCCUGACAUGGAUUAUAACUGUACUUGAUGGAGCACAGUUAUAAUAGCUGCUUUAGAGUCCUUGAUAAUUCCCACAUCUGAGUCAUCUCAAGUUAUUUUUGGCAGAUUUUGAUGGAUGUACAUUGAUGGAUAGCCACG